rnacentral:rRNA from 1 species
AGUUUGAUCCUGGCUCAGGAUGAACGCUAGCGGCAGGCCUAACACAUGCAAGUCGAGGGGUAGAGUUCUUCGGAACUUGAGACCGGCGCACGGGUGCGUAACGCGUAUGCAAUCUACCUUAUACAGGGGAAUAGCCCAGAGAAAUUUGGAUUAAUGCCCCAUAGUAUAUAACCUUCGCAUGUUGGUUAUAUUAAAGUUCCAACGGUACAAGAUGAGCAUGCGUCCCAUUAGUUAGUUGGUAAGGUAACGGCUUACCAAGACGAUGAUGGGUAGGGGUCCUGAGAGGGAGAUCCCCCACACUGGUACUGAGACACGGACCAGACUCCUACGGGAGGCAGCAGUGAGGAAUAUUGGUCAAUGGGCGCAAGCCUGAACCAGCCAUGCCGCGUGAAGGAUGAAGGCCCUACGGGUUGUAAACUUCUUUUGUACGGGAAGAAAAUGAGUUACGUGUAAUUCACUGACUGUACCGUAUGAAUAAGGAUCGGCUAACUCCGUGCCAGCAACCGCGGUAAUACGGAGGAUCCAAGCGUUAUCCGGAUUUAUUAGGUUUAAAGGGUGCGUAGGCGGACUUAUAAGUCAGCGGUGAAAUUCUUCGGCUUAACCGGAGCACUGCCAUUGAUACUGUAGGUCUUGAGUUCGGUUGAGGUAGGCGGAAUGUGUUGUGUAGCGGUGAAAUGCUUAGAUAUAACACAGAACACCAAUUGCGAAGGCAGCUUACUGGGAUACAACUGACGCUGAGGCACGAAAGCGUGGGGAUCAAACAGGAUUAGAUACCCUGGUAGUCC